ACGAACGCUGGCGGCGUGCUUAACACAUGCAAGUCGAACGGAAAGGCCCUGCUUUUGUGGGGUGCUCGAGUGGCGAACGGGUGAGUAACACGUGAGUAACCUGCCCUUGACUUUGGGAUAACUUCAGGAAACUGGGGCUAAUACCGGAUAGGAGCUCCUGCUGCAUGGUGGGGGUUGGAAAGUUUCGGCGGUUGGGGAUGGACUCGCGGCUUAUCAGCUUGUUGGUGGGGUAGUGGCUUACCAAGGCUUUGACGGGUAGCCGGCCUGAGAGGGUGACCGGCCACAGUGGGACUGAGAUACGGCCCGGACUGCUACGGGAGGCAGCAGUGGGGAAUAUUGCACGAUGGGCGGAAGCCUGAUGCGGCAACGCCGCGUGCGGGAUGACGGCCUUCGGGUUGUAAACCGCUUUCGCCUGUGACGAAGCGUGAGUGACGGUAAUGGGUAAAGAAGCACCGGCUAACUACGUG
rnacentral:rRNA from 1 species